GGCCAUGGCUCAGUGGGAGAACACCUGCUUUGCAUGCAGAAGGUCUCAGGUCCAACCCUUAGUAGGGCUG